rnacentral:rRNA from 1 species
GAACGCGAAGAACCUUACCCGGGCUUGAAUUGCAGAGGAAUUAUUUAGAGAUAAAUAUGCCUUCGGGGUCUCUGUGAAGGUGCUGCAUGGUUGUCGUCAGCUCGUGCCGUGAGGUGUCGGCUUAAGUGCCAUAACGAGCGCAACCCCUUUUCUUAGUUGCCAUCAGGUAAUGCUGGGCACUCUGGGAACACUGCCACCGCAAGGUGUGAGGAAGGUGGGGAUGACGUCAAAUCAGCACGGCCUUACGUCCGGGGCUACACACGUGUUACAAUGGCCGGUACAGAGGGAUGGUGUAAUGCAAAUUGCAUCAAAUCUUAAAAGCCGGUCCCAGUUCGGACUGAGGUCUGCAACCCGACCUCACGAAGCUGGAUUCGCUAGUAAUCGCGCAUCAGCCAUGGCGCGGUGAAUACGUUCCCGGGUCUUGUACACACC